AUUGAACGCUGGCGGCAGGCUUAACACAUGCAAGUCGAGCGGGGGAGAUUGCUUCGGUAAUUGACCUAGCGGCGGACGGGUGAGUAAUACUUAGGAAUCUGCCUAUUAAUGGGGGUCAACAUCUCGAAAGGGAUGCUAAUACCGCAUACGCCCUACGGGGGAAAGCAGGGGAUCACUUGUGACCUUGCGUUAAUAGAUGAGCCUAAGUCGGAUUAGCUAGUUUGUGGGGUAAAGGCCUACCAAGGCGACAAUCUGUACCGGGUCUGAGAGGAUGAUCAGCCACACUGGAACUGAGACACGGUCCAGACUCCUACGGGAGGCAGCAGUGGGGAAUAUUGGACAAUGGGCGCAAGCCUGAUCCAGCCAUGCCGCGUGUGUGAAGAAGGCCUUCGGGUUGUAAAGCACUUUCAGUAGGGAGGAAGCGUUGUGUGUUAAUAGUACACAGCGUUGACGUUACCUACAGAAGAAGCACCGGCUAACUCUGUGCCAGCCGCCGCAGUAACAC
rnacentral:rRNA from 1 species